CAUUAAACCCCUACAACUCAUCCAGAACGCCGCAGCCCGUCUGGUGUUCAACCUUCCCAAGUUCUCUCACGUCACCCCGCUCCUCCGCUCUCUCCACUGGCUUCCAGUCGAAGCUCGCAUCCGCUACAAGACCAUGGUGCUUGCCUACGGAGCUGUGAGGGGAACGGCACCUCCGUACCUUCACGCUCUGAUCAGGCCCUACACCCAAACAAGGGCACUCCGUUCAUCCACCUCUGGCCUGCUCGCCUCCCUACCUCUGAGGAAGCACAGUUCCCGCUCAGCCCAGUCAAAACUGUUCGCUGCUCUGGCACCCCAAUGGUGGAACAAGCUCCCUCACGACGCCAGGACAGCGGAGUCAAUCACCACCUUCCGGAGACACCUGAAACCCCACCUCUUCAAGGAAUACCUGGGAUAGGAUAAAACUUACAGCUCAUUGCAGAAGGUCCUUGUGGCCUUCAGGAGGAGGGUGUUGUUGCCUGCUUUACAGGCACUUUGCCCUGGUCUCUGCAGCCAUGCAGGAUGCAGCUCGGAUCCUCCAGUCAGCAGCAGAUGUCUGUGCUGCUGUGCCUAUCAUCACUGGGACUAGAAGACCAGGGGACCACACUGCCUGUGCUGGGCCCAGCAACCCCCUACCUGCCAGUUGAUUGAUAUUUUGGCUCAGUAUUAUAUAUUACAAACCAUUUGCUCAUCAUUUAUUAAUCAUUACUCCCACGUUUGUAAAUGUUAGUAAGCUAGUUAUUC
rnacentral:lncRNA from 1 species